UUUGUAGUAUAAGUGUGUCCCAUGCAGUAUUGGGGACAUACUUAUAUUAAAA
rnacentral:pre_miRNA from 1 species